GAAAAUGCCAUUGGUUCAAGUGUCACUAUCCCAUCGUCGUCGGCUUAACGCGUGGUGUAUACGUGGCGAUAGUUUCGAGCAGGCCAAAAAUUCAUCAGAAUAAUGAUGUGAUUGUGACAUUUUUUAGUUUUACUAAUUAUAAUAACAUUUUGUAAGAUAAUUUUGAAGAACAAUUAUGUUUGUAUUGGAUUUUAUUAUUUUAAUUGUGUUGUGUAUUGAAUGAAUGUUAUUGAGGGGGAGAAGAAGAAGGUAGGGAGAUUUUUUUUCCAAGUAUAGGACCCACAUGAAAUUGAUGUGUGAUUCUAUGGAGAUAGGGGAUCAAAGAAAAAGAAGUUGGGGUGGGUGGGUUAGUUUAUUCACACAUCUUUUUCUUUGUAUUCAAUCAAGAGAGGGAGACAUGGGAUUUGUGUGGUUUUGAGUUGUUGGUUGGAUUUCUUUGAAAAUGUAUUAAAUUUUGUGUUUGGCCUGAUGAUUUUGAUGGGGAUUCCAAUGUGCAAUGAACCACUCAACCAAAACCCACCCCAUGAUAUGGAGAAAUUAUUUAGUGCUCUUGGAGCAAAUCUUAGCGGUGCUCUGAUUUUGGAGUGAUUAGUUUAAAUAGUAUAGUCUAUUAUUUUUUUGUUUGGAGUUAUUGUAAAUAUGUGUAAAUGUGUCAUUUAUUAAAUGGUAUAGAGCAAUGCUCUAAGAGCACAGAGUAAUCUUCAUGAUAUAGGCCAUUUUAACAAAUUAGUGAGUACUUAGUUCAAUCUCUGACAAUCCCAAUUAUCUUCAAAUAUGCCAUUUCUUUAAACAAGGGAUUCUAAAAAGAGAAAAAAAAAAUGGGUAACGUUAACAACCGCUCAUUAGGCUUCGUUGUGUCUGAGGUAAAAAUAAAUAAUGUCAAAGAAUUAGAAUUUCUAUGUACAUUUCAGCCACUUCUAUGCACUUUUACAUCUUUCUAUUUAUUUCUCAUGUAUUAAAAUACUUUUUUUACUCAUUAAUCACUGCUCAGCGAGUUAUGGUUGAUGCAAAAAAAAAUAUCUAAUAUUACACGGAGGCUAUUAAAUAAAUUUGACGAUGGUAUAACGUGGAGCCCACAUCAUAAGUAUGCACUUAUCACAAGCGAUACUGCUUAAUCAUAGUUUUCCACCAAAGAAUUGCUAAUUAAUUGAAAUUAAACCAUUUCAAACUUUUCCAACUAAAUAAAUAACAAUUCGUUCACCUAGGUGACCUUGGCAUUUGGCUUAGUUAAUGAAUACCAAAAUAUUAGUUUUUAUUUUCAUGAAGGGUUGCCUAAAUCAUAAUAUAACAAUUGGAAAAUUGAAAAAAAAAAAAGUUGCUUAGUUAAGCAUUUUGUUGACAACAAUGUAACAAUGUUUUUCAAUUUUUGCUUAAAGUCCAAUCUAAGCACAUAGAGAACCACCCAAGUUAGGAAUUGGGUCACUUUUAUAUACUUUUCCAAACACUUGCCAAACCUCCAAAACCAUUUUUGAAUUCUUCAAUGUAUACUUUUUAGAAACAAUAAAUAAUUGUGUAAAGGCAUGGCAUAUCUCUUCUUUAGUUGGCUAUUGACAUAAUGUGACUAUGACUUUAAUUUUAAUUAUAACCUAACUUGUAGUAUUUCCAAAUUUGAGCCCACAAGACAAGUCAUAUACCCUCUCAAUUCACAAGCAAAUGGAUUGAAUAAUAAAAUUCAAAAUAAAGAUUGGUCUAUCAUUAGACUUGUCACAAUCAAUCAAAUGGUGAUUAGUGAGAGUGACUUUAAAAUAUAUCAAUUUUAUGAAGAAAAUAACCUAAUAACCACUAACCAAUAAUUUCAAUAUAUUCUUCACGAGUUCUUUGAAAAAUAUAGAAGAAAAUUGGGAUAUUUUCAUAGUGCGAUUGAACAUAAAAAUGAAUGUUUUACCCUUCAAAAAAAUUAUUUUUACUAUAAAAAUAAAAUUUUAAACUGAGUUCACGUGCUAUUAGGAGAUAAGUAAUGAUCAUAUACAUGGGGAUUAGUAUUGUUUUUAUACUUCAAUAAGUCAUGAUAAAGUAACAAUAGAAUCCAAUUAGGAAAGAUCACUUCCUUCGGUAAAAAUAGUACUUGGUUAACUUCAUGGAUUAACCCAAGUGGUAGUUUUUAAUGUUGAGGUAGUUCGUACAAAACUUUGUUCCAAAUUUUAAAUGAGCCUUCUAUUUAUAAAUUAUAGAAUUGAUUUUCGAAUUAAUCCGGCUAGUGAACCAAACAUGGAGCUCUUUUCAGUCUAUUGUAGGGUGUUGAUUGGAGGGUGUCCUUGGGCUUCCUUAAAUGCUCCACUCUGAUGAUUUGUUAUGUUCAUAAUACAGAUAUAACGUGUUUGGAGGUUUUGCCGGUCAUAAAGGGCCAGAUAGUCCUGAUUUUGUGGGCCCACAAAACCCCAAAGGUCUCUUUACGAAAACAAACAACAACAAAUGUCAAUUAGUUAAUUAUUUUGGGUAAAUCUCACUACUUUUUUUGUAUUUAAAAAAAUAGCAUUUAUUUUCCUUAUUUUUAAAAUUA
rnacentral:lncRNA from 1 species